rnacentral:rRNA from 1 species
GACGAACGCUGGCGGCGUGCUUAACACAUGCAAGUCGAACGGAAAGGCCCUGCUUUUGUGGGGUGCUCGAGUGGCGAACGGGUGAGUAACACGUGAGUAACCUGCCCUUGACUUUGGGAUAACUUCAGGAAACUGGGGCUAAUACCGGAUAGGAGCUCCUGCUGCAUGGUGGGGGUUGGAAAGUUUCGGCGGUUGGGGAUGGACUCGCGGCUUAUCAGCUUGUUGGUGGGGUAGUGGCUUACCAAGGCUUUGACGGGUAGCCGGCCUGAGAGGGUGACCGGCCACAUUGGGACUGAGAUACGGCCCAGACUCCUACGGGAGGCAGUAGUGGGGAAUAUUGCACAAUGGGCGGAAGCCUGAUGCAGCAAUGCCGCGUGCGGGAUGACGGCCUUCGGGUUGUAAACCGCUUUCGCCUGUGACGAAGCGUGAGUGACGGUAAUGGGUAAAGAAGCACCGGCUAACUACGUG